GAUGAACGCUGGCGGCGUGCCUAACACAUGCAAGUCGAACGAAGAGGCCCCUUCGGGGGUACUUCAGUGGCGGACGGGUGAGUAACACGUAGGUGACCUGCCCCGAAGUGUGGAAUAACAGUCCGAAAGGAUUGCUAAUACCGCAUGUGGUCUGUGAGGUUAGAGUCUUGCAGACUAAAGCAGUAAUGUGCUUCGGGAGGGGCCUGCGCCCCAUCAGCUAGUUGGUAGGGUACUGGCCGACCAAGGCAACAACGGGUAGGGGGCCUGAGAGGGCGACCCCCCACAUUGGCACUGACACACGGGCCAAACUCCUACGGGAGGCAGCAGUGAGGAAUAUUGCUCAAUGGGCGGAAGCCUGAAGCAGCAACGCCGCGUGCGCGAUGAAGGCCUUCGGGUCGUAAAGCGCUUUUGAGAGGGACGAGAUAGGACGGUACCUCUGGAAUAAGUCACGGCUAACUACGUGCCAGCCGCCGCGGUAAAAC
rnacentral:rRNA from 1 species